GUGUAAGUGGGUAGCAGGGCUGGCGGGGACCUUCCUCGCGGGCCGGAGCGCGGAGCGCUGCCCCAGCCCUACGGCACUCGGGGUCGGGACCCCGGGGAGCCGCCCUCACACAUUUUCCAGGAGGGAUCGGAGGGGCGAUGGGGUGGUAAUGGGGGUGGGGGACACGCUGUACCCCACCGACGACCGCGCGGGCCACCUUCGCCUCUUUCCUUCACACUCCCACUAACCGCAGUGCUGGGGGAACAAAAUGUCCUCCUUCUGGAGCGAUUACCUUUUCCCUUUUGUGCUUUGGGGGAAACUGAAGACCCAGAGGGGUUCGCAAAGCAAGGAGGAAACGGCUCAGAGAGAACUUAGGUCCUUUGACCGAGGUCCUGCAGGUGGACAAGAUGAAGCUCAUCAUCCUGGAGCACUAUUCUCAGGCGAGCGAGUGGGCGGCUAAAUACAUCAGGAACCGCAUCAUCCAGUUUAACCCA
rnacentral:lncRNA from 1 species